rnacentral:rRNA from 1 species
AUUGAACGCUGGCGGCGUGCUUAACACAUGCAAGUCGAUCGGUAACGCGGGGGCAACCCCGGCGACGAGAGGCGGACGGGUGAGGAACGCUUGGGAAUCUGCCUAUCAGCGGGGGACAACACGGGGAAACUCGUGCUAAUACCGCAUACGCUCUACGGAGGAAAGCCGGGGACCGCAAGGCCUGGCACUGAUAGAUGAGCCCAAGCCGAAUUAGCUAGUUGGCGGGGUAACGGCCCACCAAGGCGACGAUCCGUAGCUGGUCUGAGAGGACGAUCAGCCACACUGGGACUGAGACGCGGCCCAGACUCCUACGGGAGGCAGCAGUGGGGAAUAUUGGACAAUGGGGGAAACCCUGAUCCAGCGACGCCGCGUGGGUGAAGAAGGCCUGCGGGUUGUAAAGCCCUUUCGGUAGGGACGAAAGCUCUCGACCUAACACGUCGGGAGGUUGACUUAACCUACAAAAGAAGCACCGGCUAACUCUGUGCCAGCCGCCGCAGUAACAC